GGUAGCGAAAUUCCUUGUCGGUUAAAUACCGACCUGCAUGAAUGGCGUAACGAGAUGGGAGCUGUCUCAAAGAGGGAUCCAGUGAAAUUGUAGUGGAGGUGAAAAUUCCUCCUACCCGCGGCAAGACGGAGAGACCCCGUGGACCUUUACUAUAGCUUGACACUGCUAUUUGGAUAAAGAUGUGCAGGAUAGGUGGGAGGCUUUGAGUAUAUGACGCCAGUUGUAUAUGAGCCAUUGUUGAGAUACCACUCUUCUUUAUUUGGGUAGCUAACUAGCCUAAGUUAUCCUUAGGUAGGACAAUGUCUGGUGGGUAGUUUGACUGGGGCGGUCGCCUCCCAAAUAAUAACGGAGGCUUACAAAGGUUGGCUCAGAACGGUUGNAAAUCGUUCGUAGAGUAUAAAGGUAUAAGCCAGCUUAACUGCAAGACAUACAAGUCAAGCAGAGACGAAAGUCGGUCUUAGUGAUCCGGUGGUUCUGUGUGGAAGGGCCAUCGCUCAAAGGAUAAAAGGU
rnacentral:rRNA from 1 species